GAAGUACUCCUCCCAUGAAAAGCCUUUCUAUGUCCCCAGGCUGGAUAACAGUAGACUCAUAGAUAUAGUUCCCAGAGAGGCAAACAUGAAAGACAAGUUCAUCCAGCAUUUCGGAGCAGGACAAGUCCGGUUCUCAUCGGAGUGUAAAACGCACUUUCAUAGACUUUAUCACAACACCAGGGACUGCUCAAAACCAGCAUAUUACAAAAGAUGUGCACGAUUGCUAACA